AGGUAUUUUGAUUGAAGUUUUCGGAUGGAUUUCAAGAUACCGAGUGGCGGACGGGUGAGUAACGCGUGGGUAACCUGCCUCAUACAGGGGGAUAACGGUUAGAAAUGACUGCUAAUACCGCAUAAGCACACAGUACCGCAUGGUACGGUGUGAAAAACUCCGGUGGUAUGAGAUGGACCCGCGUCUGAUUAGCUAGUUGGUGAGGUAACGGCCCACCAAGGCGACGAUCAGUAGCCGACCUGAGAGGGUGACCGGCCACAUUGGGACUGAGACACGGCCCAGACUCCUACGGGAGGCAGCAGUGGGGGAUAUUGCACAAUGGAGGAAACUCUGAUGCAGCGACGCCGCGUGAGUGAAGAAGUAUUU
rnacentral:rRNA from 1 species